GAUGAACGCUGGCGGCGUGCCUAAUACAUGCAAGUCGAGCGAACAGACGAGGAGCUUGCUCCUCUGACGUUAGCUGCGGACGGGUGAGUAACACGUGGAUAACCUACCUAUAAGACUGGGAUAACUUCGGGAAACCGGAGCUAAUACCGGAUAAUAUAUUGAACCGCAUGGUUCAAUAGUGAAAGACGGUUUUGCUGUCACUUAUAGAUGAAUCCGCGCCGCAUUAGCUAGUUGGUAAGGUAACGGCUUACCAAGGCAACGAUGCGUAGCCGACCUGGGAGGGGGAUCGGCCACACUGGAACUGAGACACGGUCCAGCCCCCUACGGGAGGCAGCAGUAGGGAAUCUUCCGAAAUGGGCGAAAGCCUGACGGAGCAACGCCGCGGGAGUGAGGAAGGUCUUCGGAUCGUAAAACUCUUUGAUUAGGGAAGAACAAAUGGGUAAGUAACUAUGCACGUCGUGACGGUACCUAAUCAGAAAGCCACGGCUAACUACGUG
rnacentral:rRNA from 1 species